GCUGGAAGCCAGGCUUGGCCCUCACGCUGGCGGCAAGUCUAAUGCGUGUGUGUGCACCUGUGUCCACAGGUGGUGUGCCCCCUAGUGUACCCUUGGGUCCCCACCGUAGUCCAAGGUGUCAUGUCUGUGUGUGGGCAUCGCUGGUUCCCGGCACAGCCAAUCCUGGGAAAGUGCAUGUCCCUCAUGGCAUUCGGAGUCAGGGUGGCCAGCCAGGGCCCCACCAGCAAGCCAUAGCAUCAGCCCAAGGGCAGCAGCCAGCCAGGAGGCAGGAACCGCACCCGAAGUUCCUAGGCGUCCCGAGUCUCCUGUGGGCAAGAUCACCCUUGUACCCUCACUGCUGAGCCCUGGAGUGUGGGUGCCCCCAGGUGGUCUGUUGCUGCUCCGCUACUCCGCAGCAGCCCCCAACCCUGUGUGCCCACCCAGGGUGCCGCCAUCUCCUCCCCUGCAAGAGGCCAGCCUCUGCUCCGCGCCUCUCUAUCCCCAGCAGGUGGGAAAGGGUGCUUCCAGGGUACUGCUAUCUCCCCCGCUCCAAGAGGCCAGCCUCUGCUCCCCGCCUCUCUACCCCUGGCUGGUGGGAAAGGGUGCUCCUCAGGCCCUGUUUAGGGCUGACAUUGGGCCAGGUGACAGGACACCUGGGCAUGAUUGGGCAGCUAUUGGGGAGCCAUGGGCAGAGCACCUGAGGUCUGCAGUCAGCAGCCCAGUCCGGGUGAUGCCUCCUGGGAAGGGGCCCAGACUUGGGGGUAACGGCGUCACUGAUGUGGGUCCCUGGCCCCACUGUGGGGUGUCCAGGGUUGUGCCUAUUGGACCGCCCGCCUCACCAUCCCACGCUACUGAGCCUCCUUCCUCAGCCAUUGUCCAGCUUCGUGUCAAGUCCUGGCGUGGGGCUCACCGCCUGCCCCUUGACCGUGGAGUUCGGACGCGUCUCACAGUGAGUGCCCCAGCAGAGCAGGGUUGGGUGCUGAGCAUCAGCAGCUCUGCCAGAGCAAGUGGCAAUUCCCUGGAACCUGGGGUCUUGCCUUUGUUUGGAGACCGAGAGACUCACAGUGUGGGAGGGUCACAGGACAUGUCAUCAGCAGUGAAAAGGUUUUGUUCCGUUUCCUGCCUUCAGAACUUGCACGUGCUGGAAUCCAAGGAUGGGUGGGAGAGGGGCCGUUCCUGGAGAUGUCUGCCCUUCGGGGCUGGCCCAUGCCACAGGACCUCCCAUCACCCCUGCUGCCUUGGUUGGUGAAUUCGGGGCAUGCUGAGCCUUUCCCUUGCAGCCUUUGCACUUGCUACUCUUCCCUCCGCUUAUCAAACUCCUAA
rnacentral:lncRNA from 1 species